rnacentral:tRNA from 1 species
GCUUGAGUGGCUCAGUUGGUUGAGCGUCUGACUCUUGAUUUUGGCUCAGGUCAUGAUCCCAGGAUCGUGGGAUCGAGCCCCACAUCAGGCU